GACGAACGCUGGCGGCGUGCUUAACACAUGCAAGUCGAACGGAAAGGCCCUGCUUUUGUGGGUUGCUCGAGUGGCGCACGGGUGUGUAACACGUGAGUAACCUGCCCUUGACUUUCGGAUAUCUUCAGGAAACUGGGGCUAAUACCGGAUAUGAGCUCCUGCUGCAUGGUGGGGGUUGGAAAGUUUCGGCGGUUGGGGAUGGACUCGCGGCUUAUCAGCUUGUUUGUGUGGUAGUGGCUUACCAAGGCUUUGACGGGUAGCCGGCCUGAGAGGGUGAACGGCCACAUUGGGACUGAGAUACGGCCCAGACGCCUACGGGAGGCAGCAGUGGGGAAUAUGGCACAAUGGGCGGAAGCCUGAUGCAGCAACGCCGCGUGCGGGAUGACGGCCUUCGGGUUGUAAACCGCUUUCGCCUGUGACGAAGCGUGAGUGACGGUAAUGGGUAAAGAAGCACCGGCUAACUACGUG
rnacentral:rRNA from 1 species